ensembl:lncRNA
AUUUAGGGGAUCCUGGGAACUCCAUUUGAACAGUACAGACUAGUGACCAAGAUUUGUACGUUAUUUCACUUAUCUUAGGGUUCAGAUCAUGUUAAACUUGUCCCGGCCCAAAGGGCCUAAGACCUGGAUGACAGCUGCUUCUUGUUGACAGUAAAAACAUCCUGCAUUAUCACUGAGUGAAGCUUCAGAAACACAGGGAAGUGUUUGGCUGGAAAACUGUAAUUUAGAUUUCCCUGCCUUAGUCUGAGUGAAUCUCAGCCAUUGUUUCUAAUAACAAUUAUUUUUAUUUACUUUCUUUGCAAAAUGAAAAACGACACUGAUGACAAGUUACUGGCUGAGCAGGUUUCAUGCCCCUUGCAUAAAGCAUGCUUGGAAUGUACUUGACAACCUUGUAGUUUCAUGUAUAAAUUUAGCGUGUAAAUACUCCUGCUGAGAGUUCCAGAUCCUUUAUUUUUCUUUGCCUUGUUGCAUUCAUGAAGAUGUUCCAUCUCGAACACCAGAAGUGUUUAGUGAACUGUAAAAUUUGGUUUGCCCUUUUCCAGCUUUCUAAUACUUUUAGUUCAUGAAAACCAGCAAACAAAUAGUAGCUAUUUCCUAGCUCUGACCUCUUUCUUCAAAAAUUAGAUGGUAUAAUAGAGGAAGACUGCCUACUCUGAGCGGAUGGUGGAAGAAUGUUCAAGUCAAUUGUCUCUCCUCGUGCAUGAGAUGGGGUUCGUCUGCUGGAAGUGCGACAACUCAGCCAGCUGCGCCUGGCACAGGGGUUGCGGAGCAAAAGAGAGGCCGCGAAGCUGCGUGGCAGCAGGGGACAGGCCGGGUAGCACAGCUCAGAGAUAACACCAGCUAGCUGCACAGCCAGUACACCAUCAUGUGAGUACCUCCUUCUUCUUCUCCCACCCCUCAGGGGAGACAGAGACUUGAACUAUCACUUUCAAAGAAAUGAAACCUGAGAGACCUGGGUUGCGUAAGUUUGGAUCUGGCAUUGUUUUCCAGCAACACAGGCAGAAAUUCUUCUCAUUUUCUGGUGAAGGCCUCUUGGCAUGGACAGUCGCUGACUAUUAGAGCUCCUGAAGCCACAGAACGGAGACUGCACAGAACCCCACACCUGGCCUCUUAAUGUCAUUUCUAGCCCAAACAGUCUUCAUCUCCACCCUGCAUAACUCAGCAAUCGGCAAGUCGGGGAUGGUAUCCCAGUCGUAAUUUAAUGCGCCUUUCACAUGGAAUGGGGCAGAGUUGAACACGAGAUCUCACACUGUUGGAGAACUUGAUCUGGCCACAGUGAAGACAGAGCACAAAAUGACUUACUAUAUGUCCCCAGGAACUGUUCUUCCAUUGAAACCUCUUCCAAUGUAGAGCAAGAUGCUCUUCCCAAACCCCUCUUAAAGCUGUUUCCUGCUUACGUUCGUCACUUACCAGCCUUUCCUGACACCACAGCAGCUUCGCUGAAGUUAUCCUUCCUUUACAGCAGUGUGAGAAAAGAAACAGCUUGCAUUCUUUGUAACUUGACGUGCUGAAAAUCCUUUUAUAGGCUUGCUGUCGAGGUAUCUAAAAUCAGGAUUUAAAAUAGGAAUAGAAUUGGGCCUAAAACACAGUGCUAGUCUGUAUAUAUGCACCUACAUUUUAUGUUAUCAGGCCAGCAUCACGCUGAGUCUUAUAUAAAAUCUUAUUUUUAAAUUACCUGUAUUUGUAUGCUAGCAUUAAUUAGUAAAGAUCAAAUGUUGUUAAAAUAGCAUGUUCUUUGCCAUUUAUAUUGGUCCUUUACUUCUUCCCCGAUGUAAGAAUUCCAGGCAGUUGACAGCUGACAUAUUAUUAUACGCUGUAGAGAUUAGAUAUUAAAUCUCGUCAUGGUGGAGAGGGAAUGUGUGUGUAAGGAAGAUGAAACACAGUCUUGUGACUAAGGAGCUUCUCUUAGUAGGACUCAGAAAAAUCUGUACAGUUCCUACUUUUGCCACAUUCCCCGUGCACUCCUGUAGACAUUCUCUCUUACUAAUACAAAGAUAAUAUUUUGCAGCCUUAUAGCAGUGUAGUCUGAAUGUUUGUAUGGCAUUCAGAUGCUCUGAAAGGGUAAUGGAGGGAGAUGAAAUAAACUCGAUGAAGG